UACAGAGGUCUCAAGCGUUGUUCGGAUUCAUUGGGCGUAAAGGGUGCGUAGGCGGCGCGGUAAGUCGGGUGUGAAAUCUCGGAGCUUAACUCCGAAACUGCAUUCGAUACUGCCGUGCUUGAGGACUGGAGAGGAGACUGGAAUUUACGGUGUAGCGGUGAAAUGCGUAGAUAUCGUAAGGAAGACCAGUGGCGAAGGCGGGUCUCUGGACAGUUCCUGACGCUGAGGCGCGAAAGCGUGGGGAGCAAACGGG
rnacentral:rRNA from 1 species